ACGGGGCUCAACCUCCGCCCGCCGUUGAAACUGCCGGGCUCGAGUGGGCGAGAAGUAUGCGGAAUGCGUGGUGUAGCGGUGAAAUGCAUAGAUAUCACGCAGAACCCCGAUUGCGAAGGCAGCAUACCGGCGCCCUACUGACGCUGAGGCACGAAAGUGCGGGGAUCAAACAGGAUUAGAUACCCUGGUAGUCCGCACAGUAAACGAUGAAUGCUAGCUGUCCGGGGGGAUUGACCCCUGGGUGGCACAGCGAAAGCGUUAAGCAUUCCACCUGGGGAGUACGCCGGCAACGGUGAAACUCAAAGGAAUUGACGGGGGCCCGCACAAGCGGAGGAACAUGUGGUUUAAUUCGAUGAUACGCGAGGAACCUUACCCGGGCUCAAACGCCGAAGGAACAUUCCCCGAAAGGGGAAUGGCCAGCAAUGGUCUUCGGCGAGGUGCUGCAUGGUUGUCGUCAGCUCGUGCCGUGAGGUGUCGGCUUAAGUGCCAUAACGAGCGCAACCCCCACCGACAGUUGCUAACUGGUCAAGCAGAGGACUCUGUCGGGACUGCCGGCGCAAGCUGCGAGGAAGGCGGGGAUGACGUCAAAUCAGCACGGCCCUUACGUCCGGGGCGACACACGUGUUACAAUGGCAGGUACAGAGAGAAGCAAUGCGGCGACGCAAAGCGGAACUUGAAAGCCUGUCUCAGUUCGGAUUGGAGUCUGCAACUCGACUCCAUGAAGCUGGAUUCGCUAGUAAUCGCGCAUCAGCCAUGGCGCGGUGAAUACGUUCCCGGGCCUUGUACACACCGCCCGUCAAGCCAUGGAAGCCGGGAGUGCCUGAAGUGAGCAACCGCAAGGAGCGCCCUAAGGUAAAACUGGUGACUGGGGCUAAGUCGUAACAAGGUAACCGUAA
rnacentral:rRNA from 1 species